AUUUGGGUGGUGACACAGAUCCAAACCAUAUAAACAUAUAGUCUAUUUCCACUUUUGUAAACUGAUGACCAAAUUUCUGUCACAUGAAUAUUCUGUCUAUGCAUACACAUGUAUAUAUACAUAUAUGCUAUACAGAUAUAUAUAUAGAUAUAUAUAUAGAUAUAUAGAUAUAUAUAUAUAUAUAUACGUAUGUAUAUGGUAUUGUUAAUAUUGGUUUAAAGUCAGGGAAAUACGGAAAGAAGAAGAAUAGUAGAGGUAAGCAAAAAUAAAGGUUACAGUUUUAAAAAGAGGCUUAACCUAGUUUGGAUACUAAUUCAAAUAAACUAAAAAAUAUGUGAGGUAAGAAGGGGAAUUUAAAUGACUGCAUAUUUUGUAAUAUUAGGGAGCUAGUGGUGUUUUUUAAACUAUGAAAAAAUGGUAUUACAGUUUUGUUUUUCAAUGUUAUCUUUUAGAGAGGGAUACUGAAAUACACAUUUAUGAGAUGAUAUAAUUCUGGAAUACAGCCUUGGGAUUUGGAAAGAGUGGGAAGGAGUAUAGAGGAAGCGAGCUUGAGAAUAAGUCAAUAAUCACUGGGUAAUGGGUUUAGGGGGCAUGUCUAAUUAUAUAUGUUGAAUUGUUUUUCAGUAAAAUUAUUGAAAACUAUGGUUUCUGGUCUCACGUAAGGAGACUGGAAGUUGUCACUCCUGGCCUCACAACAAGAAAAAAGAUGAACAAAUUCUUGUUAAAUCCAUCAGAGAACUGAUUCCCAGGGCAAACUGCUGUCCCCUAAAUUGGAGGGACAGAUGAGUGGAUACAGAGAAUCACAGCUUACGGGAGCAGAAGCCACCAUGGGAACCCACCCUGGAGUAAGAAAACCUAAAUUGUAACUGAGGAAUUGCUGGACAAGCUCAGAAACUCCAGGGAGACCCAGUUGUAGGGGGAACCCCACACUUGCAUGAGUUUUACUCCCAGGAGCUCUACUAGAUUCUUAUAGUGUAGAUCAGAGAAAAAUCACACUUCUGGCAGAGGUAAGAGGGAACUAACCAUUUGGAAAUAUGCCCAGAGUGUUCUGUUCUCAGUAGCAAAAGACUGCCCCCAAGCAAAACUAUUUUACUAACCACUUCGGAUUUUGCCACAGUGUAACCUGCCUGGGCAAGAGAAAUGCCCAACUCCAGCCCCCUCUACCCUUCCUGCCUAAGGGGGAAAAAAACAAAACAAAACAAAACAAAAUGAGAAGCUGUGUGAAGGUCUCAGCCCAGGGAUACAGACCCACUAGAGGAAGGAGACCAAAUCAGAGGACCAGAGAAUGCUUCCCUUCCCCAUACCUGACCAUCUCCCCAGCAGACUCCUGUGUCAUAACAGGAAUGCAGCGGAAAGAAUGGCACCUCUCAACCUGCUUUAAGAAGAAAUCUCUAGCAAGUCCCAAAGACGACGGGGAGCCAGGAGCUGGGACACCCAAAGAGAGUAGCUCCUGACACAUUCCAGUGACAGCAGACACAGCCCAGCUCCUAGCCAGAUAAACAUAUAACCUUUCCUGGAAGGCCUCUGCACCUCUGUUCCUUUUACCCAUCACCUCACAUCACAUAUAGCUUCCAAUCAAAACAUUGAAAACUAACUAAACAAAAGCAGAAAGGAGUGCAAGAAAAAGCCACGCAUGCACAUACAAUCAGACCCUUCCCUUGGCUUAUUGUUUCCUCUGCUCCUACUCUGGUCCCAGACAUUGCCAUCUCAGCUUGGUCAUUUUCCAAUUCUAAUUUCAGCCCUCUUCUAUGGGAGUAUCCUCUCCUCUUUUCCAUCCUGGCCCUGCGGGUUAGGAAAUCCAAACAUGACUCUCCCCUCAACCUUGUACUCAUUGGCUCCAAAAGUUUAGCUCAUGCUAUUCCGUCUUCUGGGGGUACCAUUUGAAUCUACUUUACCAAAUCUAACCAACCCUUGAGGACUCAGCUGCUUCAGCACAGACCUGCACAUCCUCUACCGGUGUCUCCAUUCGGAGCCAGUGCUGAGGAAGCCAGGACAGAGGUUAUCCUUCCUUCCAUAAGUGGGAUUCAGCAUGAAGGCAAGACUGUCAUGGGAAGAGGAGUGGGGGUGCAUAUCCAGGCUCCUGGCUCUUCCACACACUCACCUGACGUGACUUGGGCAAGCCACUUGUUCCUUUUGAGUCUUACUUACUUCAAAAUGAAAGGAAUAUCUCCCCUGCAUCACAACUUUAGGUUUCUGGGCAAGAUCUUCUGUGAGGAAGUUACAAACUUGCAGCCUAGCCUCACUUGUUAUCAGAGCAGCAAGAGAACAUGGAAGCUUGCUAAGAGGGCUCCUUCCUGAGUGGCCCAGACAUCACCCUCCUUGCUCAUAGAAGUCAUCAAGGAAGCACUGGAAUGGUCUUUCCUACUCAUCCCCAAGUCCCCCAGCUACCACCCCUAGCUACCACCCCUAGUUCAGGCCAGCCUUGGACUAGGGUGUCUGUGUGCUAAGUGUUGCUCUAAGGACCACCUUGACAUUCUCUUCCCAGGAUCUCAGGCCUGCUGCUUUUGGUAGAAGAAGCCUUCAGCAGGCCGGGGUGGAAUGGAAGUUAUCUUUAAAAACAACAAAGUUUACUCUCUGCAAAAUUGCGUGUGGUGUUAGGUAGAAUAAUGGCCUGUAAAAAUGUUCAUGCCCUAACCACCAGAUCCGGUGAAUGUGUCAUGCUACCUGGCAAGAAAGACUUAAGGUUGCAGAAGGAAUUAAGCUUAUGAAUUGGUUGACCCCAACGUGGAGAGAGUACCUUGAAUUAUCCAGGUGCACCCAGUGUAAUCAGAAGUGUUCUUAAAAGUGAAAGAGGGAGCCAGAAAAAGACAGUAAAGUGGAGAGGUGAUAUGGAAUGAGAGAGGGGCAGAGAGAGACGAUGUUACUAGCUUUGAAGGUAGAGGAAAGGGCCAUGAGCCAAGCAAUGUGGGCAGCCCCCAGAAACAGAAAGGGCAGGUGAAGGAAUUCUCCUGCAGAGCCUCCAGACCCGAACCCAGACCUGCUUGCACCUUGAUUUUAGCCCACGAGACCAAUGUCAAGCUUCUUUUUUUCAGCUUUAUUGAAUUAUAAUUAACAAAUACAAUUGCAUAUAUUUAAAGUGUACAAUGUGAUGAUUUGACAUACGCGUACAUUGUGAAAUGACUACCACAAUCAAGUUCAUUAACACAGCCAUCACCUCACAUAGUUACCUUUUGCUGACAGGAGUGAACCCUUGAGGUCUACUCUCUUAGCAAAUUAUAAGUACACAAUACAGCGUUGUUAACUACAGUCUCCGGACUGUGUGAGAACUCCAGAACUUGCUGAUCUUAUACCUGAAACUCUGCACCUUGAACCAACAUUUCCCACUUCCUCCAUCCCACAACCACCCUUCUAGGCUGUUUUUCUAUAGGUUUACCUCAUUUAUUUUAGGUUCCACAUAUACAUGAUAACAUAAAGUAUCUGUCUUUCUGUGUCUGGCUUAUUUCACAUAGCAUAAUGCAUUCCAGGUCCAUCCAUGUUGCCACAAAUGGCAGGAUUUCCCAAUGUUGAACUUCUAUCCUAUGGAACUGUAAAAUAAUAAAUUUGUUUGUUUAAGCCACUAAGUUGUGUUAAUUCAUUACAGCAGCAAGGGGAAAGGAAUACAUUUUGAAUACAGGUACUGUGAUAAGUAAGUGGGAGGACCAAGGAGAAUAAAUUAUGCCCAAAGGCUUUGCAAUAGAUUGGUUUACCCUAAUGCUGUUGUAAUAAAACUUACUAGUCAUAGCUGUCUCUGAUGCAGAUCAACCUUGCCAGGGUUUUAAUGAAUUUUUUUGAAGAAAGUCAGUACAUUCCAGUGAAGUCCAUUUUACCCUGACCAGCUGUUUCUAUAUUGAAAGAAAAAUAAUAAGUAUGAAGACAGGAAAAAAAGAAAAUCAUUAUUAGGGUGGUUGUUUUGUAGGCAGUUUUGAUUUGGACUACUGACUUCUGAGAUUUCUAAGCUGAGAGGGAUAGUAGCUGGAAGAAACUUUGCAACUAAAAUUCUACAAGUUUAUGUUUUUUCUUAAACUUUUAAAGUGUUCUCCUGUACACUUCUUUUUUGACAGCAAGUUUUUGAAUGACUUGUCUUUUCCAACUUGGUUUUCAUAAAACCCAUAACUAAUUCUGCAUUUACAUUUCAACAGUUUGCAACAUGAUAAUAAAAACUUUAAGGAACUGGCAUAAACCAACUUGGGAGCAGACAUAACUGAUCCUUGGUGAGCUGACAGUUCAGCUGGUGGAGGAAGAAUGUUCUGGAACCUGUCAUCUGUGGGGAGAAGGAUUCAGGAAGCAUGGCUGUCUGCAUGUUGCUAUGAACUUACGUUGCCUGCAAGGGCCCCCUCAGGCCAUGGGAAGGGUCUACAAAUGUGUUCACCACAUGAAACUUGCCUGAGUCAAAUAUGCUCCAAUCAGCUUAGACCACUGUUGAUUUCUACUCCAGUUUCUUCUCACUCUGGGUGAUGUGGAGUGGCUGAUAGCAAUUUUGGGGUUGGCUCAAGGAAGCUGAGCUGGAGAUACAUUUAGCUUGGGUUUGGUGGGACACAUGAUUUGCAAUGGCUUUCAUGUGUAAAAAUAUUAUUAUAGCCACAGUUUUAAGCCAGCAACACACACUGUUAGAUCCGUAACCAGGUUUGAAGUUAUCAUAUGCUAAAGAUAACACUACUACACUAUAAGGCCUUUCCUAUGCUGCUAGUGUGCCAGGAACUGUGAGGGGUCUGAGGCUUUACUUUACUUGUAAGAUCACAAAUGAGCCUCCCAGUUUCAUGGAUGUUGGUAGAAGACAUGAGACUCCUGGGCCAGAGACAAAGGACUUCAGUAGUCAUGGCAGAGCAGGCAGCAUGAACUCCUGUUCCUAUCAGUUCCUUUUGUUCCCUAGGGUUCAUAGGGGUGACACAGAGUGGCCCUAGUGGAUGCCAUGCAGAGAGCGAGUCUGCAUCACAUCUGAGGAUCACCAAGUUUAGGAGAUGCACCCCUUUUAAGAGACUAUUAGCAAACUUUCCCAACCUUUACCUAGAAGAAACAUUAUCUUUACUAUCCUGGUCAGGAAACAAAUCUGCCCUCUGACCUGGAGGGAGAUAUGAUCGCUGUCUUCCAAGGUCACUUGUUAUGCUAACAUUCUUGGAAAGAUAAUCCAGGGGGUAAAAAAGUCAUCAGUUUCUUUGCUGAAAAGGUGUGCAGAAAUAUUAGAGAUCCAUGAAGAAAUAUCUCCAGUACAGUGCUAUAUCCACAGGCGUUGAUUCCUUAACCUAAAGGCGGGAGAAUCUCUCCUUAGCCUCUCACUAGCAGCUGACAGCCUUUCUCACCUCCCUAGCUGAGUCCAGCACACUUUUCUUUUCUUUUUUUCUUUUUCUUUUUUUUUUUUUUGAGACAGAGUCUCGCUCUGUCACCCAGGCUGGAGUGCAGUGGCACGAUCUCGGCUCACUGCAAGCUCUGCCUCCUGGGUUCACGCCAUUCUCCUGCCUCAGCCUCCUGAGUAGCUGGGACUAUAGGCCAGCACACUUUUCUAAUCUUAUCCUGUCUCCUUCUACCUCCCUGCACAUCAGUCAUGUAAAUUCACCUGUCCAAGCACAUCUAUAUAGGUUCUUUUCAAAUUUCCUGCAGAUUUGUCAUGGAAUAUUGACAUCAAAGAUAAGACAAAAAAAAAGCCACUACAAUGUGAAUAUUGACAACAAACUGGUUAAUGAAGGUCUUCAAUUUAAAAAGAAUAUAAGAUUAAUCCCUGCAGAAGAUAACCUCAAGUGCCCUGAAAUUUUACAACUCAUAUGUGAAAGACUUCAUAGAAGUUUUUCCAAAUAUGGCGAUAAUCCUAGACAUUUCGUGAGUUUGAGAAGCUAAAAGGAACUUUCCUAAGUCACCAGUAAUAAAAAAUAAAUUUUGGCCCACCAUGGCAGAAGGAAGACCGGAUUAUCUGCCUAGUCUAGAUAGAGCUGCUCAAUCCAAUAUGGUGGCCACUAGCCACUUGUGACUACUGGGCAUUCAAAAUGUGGCCAGUGCACAUUGAGAAGUGAUGUGAGUGUAAAACGCACACCAGAUUUCAAAGACUUACUAAAAAAAAAAGAAUGUAACAUUCCACAUUGGCAUAUUUUAUACUAAUUAUAUGUUCAUAUUACAAUAUUUGGCUAUAUUAGGUUAAUAAAG
rnacentral:lncRNA from 10 species